UGAAGACGCUGAUGAUGAGCCUCAUUAAAGGACGAAAGCAGAGCCCCGCCUCCUGAUGACCACUCAUCCAGCGCUGAAGACUAUGAGAACAUGACGGGCUCAGGACUCGAUGCUCCGCCUCCUGAUGACGGCUCAUCCAGCGCUGAAGACUAUGAGAACAUAACCGCUUAAAAUGAGAAAACAUCCCCGAUUUUCCACGUGGUCUCAGACGUUUGGACCCCAAAAGCUCAAGAUUCUCUUCUUUUAAGAUGGAAUUUGCAUCAUAUGCUUCACUCAGUAAUAUCACUCAUUAAAAUGCCAUCAAUCUGUAUCGAUUCUAUUAAAUCCUUCUACAUAUUUUAUUCUUGUA